rnacentral:rRNA from 1 species
UACGGGGGGAGCAAGCGUUGUUCGGAUUUACUGGGCGUAAAGGGCGCGUAGGCGGCGCAACAAGUCAGCUGUGAAAUCUCCAGGCUUAACCCGGAGCGGCCAGCUGAUACUGUCGUGCUAGAGUGCGGAAGGGGCUACUGGAAUUCUCGGUGUAGCGGUGAAAUGCGUAGAUAUCGAGAGGAACACCUGUGGCGAAGGCGGGUAGCUGGGCCGACACUGACGCUGAGGCGCGAAAGCUAGGGGAGCGAACGGG